ACUCGAUCUAUAAGAACUUGCAUGAUUUUAAUAUCAAACUACUGAGACCAUUGCUUUAUUUAAAUACGACAAUAGACAUACUCUUCAUAGUAAUAUUUGCAACAUGUCUGGUUAACACACGGCAGUGCCUCUACAAAAACGAUGCUGUAAUUCAAACGAAAGCAUACUCGACUCCAAAAUCCUGAUCAAAUACAUCUAUUGCGAAUAUAACUAAUUUCUGUUCCUUUUCUGCUAACCGUGGUCAUGCGUUUGAAUCGUGUUUCCGACGGGAAUAAGGAGAUCACGCCGAAUUUUAAUUUAAUACCAACUGGUAAAUGUACUCUUAAAUUAAAUGCAAGAUCGCAGUGGUGCGUUAUGCAAGAAUCAAUUGCAAAUGAAAUCUCUGGGUGUAGAAAACAAAUCGUAAACUAUUUGCGUGGAUUGAGAUCGGACCUUACUAUUUCAAUGAAUAGUUAAAUAGUUAUUAAUGUAGAAAUAAUUUUCUAUAGUUCCAGGUUUUGAAACGACUACUGAUAUAUUAACCGGAGCAGAUUUAUUACGUGAUAAGAAUACAUGUGGAAAAUUUAGUAUCCUUGCCGAUGUUUUGCACAUACGAACAAGUCAAUUAUGCUUUGACAGUUUAGAUUACAAUUCAACAAUCAGUCCGUUUAAAUCGAAGUAAUGCACCAACACAUUCAAAACAGGAUGGUCGAGGCGGAGAGAAGAUACAAAGCUAGGUUUUUGAGAGGUCGAGCUACGAUUAAAAGAUUCCAGAAGGGAGAUAUUGUAAUAAUAAAAAUAUAACCCCAGAAAUCGGAUAUCCCUAUAUUUAAAAUUUUGUGAACUAUACAAAAUCCAGAAAAUAAUUGAGAAUGAUUAAUAUCUUGUAAAGUGAUUUUAGACAAUGGAUGACUUCGAAAUGUGGCACAUGACCAGCUACGAAUGUGGCACAUGACCAGCUACGAUGAGACUUCACAGCAUCUGAGGGACGACACAGAAUUACUAAGCAAGCAGUUAGGUGGACGGUUCGCCUACCUAAUAGUUAUCCGAAAACAAUGCAGAGCACGCAUCAGUAUAACCGUAUCGGCAUGACUUCGGACGAUGAAGCAUCAAUUCUUGAACCUGGCUCAUCUACUCUACGAGACCUGCAACGGGUACGAGAACAUAACGAAAGCUAAGCAAGAGAGAACACAUCACCACGCAGGUGCAGAGCACGCACCGCCUGCCAGAAUGGCCGUAUCGGCGCAAGCAGCUUCAACGACGGAUGCAACAUGAAAAUAACUGGCAUCAAUUAUUAUAACACCUUAUUGGUCGUCGUUACUAUUGUUAAAAGUAAAACGAAAUCAAAGAGAAUAGAACUAUGUUUGAAUUCUGGUUUAAAUAUGACGUCUGGACGCACGACAGCGGACUGCAGAGUUCAGCGAGUGCGGAGUAUAAAGAACCUUCGAGAAAUACAAGAACAUUUAGAAGAA